GCGGUCAGGCCGUCAGGCGGGCGGGCGGUCGGGUCGGUCGAGCCCUCCGGUCGGUCGGGCCCUACGGCAGUCGGUCGGGCCCUACGACAGUCGGUCGGUCCCUCCGGCAGUCGGUCGGUCGGCGGGUAUUCCCCAACAGUUGCCCCCCUCCACUCCUAAGUCGGGUGGCGGGCUGGCCGAGGCUUCCAUUCGGGCAGCAAUCCCGGACGACUGGGAGUGGAUUUGUCGCAUGUGUAGAUCCGACCGUACUGUCGGAUGAUCCGAUGUCAGACGCCUCAUGAAUGCCCAGCGAUCCGCCCGUCUCUCCCACAUACGCAGGCUCGCUCCUCUCUCUCUCUCCCUCUUUCUCAGAGCUCUCCGUCUGCAUUUCACUGUUGCCCAGUCACCUCUCUGACUUGACCGUCGGAGGGUCCCCGUCGGAGCCCCCUCCGGUCAGUGCGGACUUCCUUUUGCAGGUGCACGCUUCCCGGCGAUCGGGCGAUGAGGCGAUUGGCCGCAACA
rnacentral:lncRNA from 1 species